AGCCUCCGGGAUCUGCAAGUCUGGAAAGGCCACGUUGUGGACCUUGGCGCAGAGGUUAUGGGGGCGACCCGGAGCGGAUGGUUUCAGGAAAACUAGAACCCACCCUCAUGGCCUGAACAACUGGAGAGAAGAGGAUCGCAGCAAUUUAAAGCCAGCGGCAAGGAUCACAGUCCUGGGGUCAGGUGACCAAAGCCAGUUUUUCAGCCCUUAACAAGAACCUGGCUUCACCCAGCCAAACAUGAGUUAACGUAUCCAUUUUACACACGAACAAACUGAGGCGCAGAGAUGAUCACAGCUUGUUGGUGGCAAACUCCGCUAGGGCCUUCUCUGCUACCCUAAGGAGGUCCGACCGUAUGUUUUGGACCCCUUAACUCGGGAUACCGAUAAACGAAAAUUAAUAGGGUGUUGGAUGUUUUAAAUGUGUGCGGGAAUGUCAUUAUAUUGGCUAGAAUCAAACCUUAUUUAGACUUGUUUUGCACUUUUGUACACUUUAGUAAUUUUUAGUUUUAAUCAUAAGGGAGUUAAAGGCGAACACAACUGGUAUUUUUUUUUUUUUUUUUUUUUUUUUGAGACAGGGUCUCGCUCGGUCACCCAGGCUGGAGUGUAAUGCUGCGAUCUCGGCUCACUGCAACGUCCGCCUCCCGGGUUCAAGAGAUUCUCCUGCCUCAGCCUCCCGAAUAGCUGGGCGUGCCACCACGCCCGGCUGAUUUUUGUAUUUUUAGUAGAGACGGGGUUUCACCAUGUUGGCCAGGUUGGUCUCGAACUCCUGACCUCAAAUGAUCCGCCCGCCUUGGCCUCCCAGAAUGCUGGGAUUACAGGCGUGAGCCACCGCGCCAGGCCGACAACUGGUAUCUUAAGGCUUAGGGCCUCUGGUAGAAGUGAGCUCCACCUCCCUUCCUGUGUAGAAGGUAAAUGCAUUCAUUCAUUCAGUGAAUCGAGCAUGCAUGAAAUCGUUUGCGCACACCCAGAAGCCCACCUGCGAGCCACAGGAGCAGCCAUUCCAGGAAGCCAAGCUAUAAUGGGAGACGCAAGGAAUGGAGGCGGAACUCCUGUUUUUAAGUCCUAGCUCCAACACUAGCCUUGUCAGCCUGUAAUUCUGAAUUACUGGGCGCCUCUGAGGCUUCUUGUCUCAUCUGCAAAUCAGGAACAACGGCAUAGAGUGGUGAAUGCAUCAAGUGGGAUGAUGUCUGCAAGUACGCAACCCGCUUACACAAAGAAUUAUCUUUCCAUAACCUUCCCUGGACCCCUAGGGCCAGCAGGGAAUCAUAGCCUCCCUUUGUUUCUAGAGCCCGGAAAUCACUGGGUUUUCCCUCUGUCUGGAGCAGAGCUGGGUGCGAAUUUGACCAACGGGUGGCAGGAACAGCCGGAGCAGGAUAUUAAGGAGCGGGCGAGCUUGCCAAGCAUGCGCAGUAGCGGCGGGUUGGUUUGAGAAGCCGCCAGGGAGCCAGCGCGGCGACCUAGCUGGCUGGGGCAGGGGAGGGGCCCGCCUUAUAUGGGAGCUGCGUGGGGACAAACUGUUCGGGCCCAACGCGCGGGUCUGAGAGACAGCCACGCCUGCUCCGGGUCACUCCGGCCACCUGGGGGGCGUCGGCGCGCAGACUCUGGCCAGUUCAGUAUUCAAACUCUUCAGGAGUGCUAACUUACUCAUGACAGCGAUUUUCUGUAUCGGGGUUUCAUUGGUCGGUGGUUUAGAAGGUUUUGCUCAUUCAUUCGUUAAUGUAAUUCCAACAACCUACACGUGUUUAUAAGCCCCCUUUCCAUCCACGACUUUGCUGUCUGACACAAAACGGACCAUCGCAGCCCGGCAGACGCUUUAGACAACAAACAGCAUGCCUGGAGCUUUUCAAUAGGAAGCAGUAAGGCUUGAUCAUCACAGACGAUACGGAACGGGCACUUUCUUAGCAGAAAAUAUUUCUAUUGGGGCGUGAAGGAAGUUUCUGAAAGGGAAGAUUAUUAUAAGAUAAGGGGUUUGCUCAUCUCAGACUUUAGUGUGCCUGCUUUAAAGUGUUUUGCAAACUUGAAUGUUUAAAGGAAUCACCUGGCGGUCUUGUGAAACUGCAGCUUCUAAUGGGCAAGUCAGAGGGGAAGCCUGAGACAUGGCAUUUCCAGCACGUUCGGGGAGUGAAGAUGCUGUCGGCUGCCACCCUCCCUGCAAGGAGCCAGGGGAUAGAUGACCUCUACGCAAACUGUGAGAGCUUAAAAUAACUGAUAGUGAAAAACAGUUACAGAAGCUCUAGGCCGGGCACGGUGGCUAAUGCCUGUAAUCCCAGCACUUUGGGAGGCCGAGGAGGAUGGAUUGCCAGAACUCAGGAGUUUGAGACCAGCCUGGGCAACACGGUAAAACCCUGUCUCUACGACAAAAUAAAACAAACAAAAAUAAAAGCCACGCAUGGUGGCGUGUGCUUGUAGUCCCAGCUACUCAGGAGGCUCAGGUGGGACAAUCGCUUGAGCAUGGAAGGAGGAGGUUGCAGUGAGCCAAGAUCGCACCACUGUACUCCAACCUGAGUGACAGAGUGAGACCCAAUCUCAAAAAAAAAAAAAAGCAGUAAAUCCAGGGCCCAAAAGGUCAGUAAGAAUUCAGGGAUCCAAAUCAGUUAUGUACUGAUGCAUAAAAAUAAUGGCCAAAAAUGUGGAGGCUUAAAACAAAAACCGGUUAUUAUUUCUCUCAAUUCUUUGGGUUGCUGGUGUCACCCGGGCUUUGUGGCUGGGCUCUAGGCUCACCUGGGGUGAGGAAAAGUUGGUGCAUUUUGCUUUUUCAUCCUCAAAAAGUUUAGACCAGGUUCCAGAUUUCUUGCGGCGGCGAGACACCUCGCCAGGAGAGCACCGCACUAUGCACAAGCCUUUGCUGGACUUCCAUUGACCAAAGGCAGUCACAUGGUCACGCCCAGGCAAUGUGGGAGGGCCCCGCAAAGGAGGGGUGGGUACUCAAGAGAGCCACUAAAUAACAAACCUACCUUAAGAUCACAUUUAUUUCUAACAUUUUAAUAGUUAUAGUUCAGUAUAAUUGAUUUUCCUGGUAAUCCCAUUUAUUUUAUUUUAUGCAUUUUAAAAUGUUAUUCUGAAAAUGUUACUCUCACCAAACAACCAAAAGGGUCCACGGCAUAAAAAAGGUUUAAGAAUCUAUGAUUUUAAAAUUCAAU
rnacentral:lncRNA from 1 species